ACUCCUACGGGAGGCAGCAGUGGGGAAUAUUGCACAAUGGGGGAAACCCUGAUGCAGCCAUGCCGCGUGUGUGAAGAAGGCCUUGGGUUGUAAAGCACUUUCAGUAGGGAGGAAGGUAGUGUAGUUAACACCUGCACUAUUUGACGUUACCUACAGAAGAAGCACCGGCUAACUCCGUGCCAGCAGCCGCGGUAAUACGGAGGGUGCGAGCGUUAAUCGGAAUUACGUGGGCGUAAAGCGCAUGCAGGCGGCCUGUUAAGUCAGAUGUGAAAGCCCGGGGCUUAACCUCGGAAUUGCAUUUGAAACUGGCAGGCUAGAGUCUUGUAGAGGGGUUAGAAUUUCGAGGUGUAGCGGUGAAAUGCGUAGAGAUCUGAAGGAAUACCGAGUGGCGAAGGCGGCCCCUGGACAAAGCUGACGCUCAGAUGCGGAAAGCGUGGGAGCAAACAGGAUUAGAUACCCCGUUGGAGCGACUGA
rnacentral:rRNA from 1 species